AAGUCGUAACAAGGUUUCCGUAGGUGAACCUGCGGAAGGAUCAUUAUUGAAAUAAACCUGAUGGGUUGCUGCUGGUUCUCUAGGGAACAUGUGCACACUUGUCAUCUUUAUAUAUUCACCUGUGCACCUUUUGUAGACCUGAAUAUCUUUCUGAGUGCCUAGCAUUCAGGAUUGGGGAUUGACUUUUAUUUUGUCUUUCCUUGCAUUUUCAGGCCUAUGUUUCUUCAUAUACCCCAUGUAUGUUAUAGAAUGUAGUCAAUGGGUGUUUGUGCCUAUAAACCUAUACAACUUUCAGCAACGGAUCUCUUGGCUCUC
rnacentral:misc_RNA from 1 species